AGAGUUUGNNNCUGGCUCAGGACGAACGCUGGCGGUGCGCCUUAUGCAUGCAAGUCGAGCGAAGCUUUUCAGUAGUUUACUACAGAAAAUGACUGAGCGGCGAACGGGUGAGUAACGCGUGAGCAAUCUACCUUAGUUACAGGGAUAGCCCGAGGAAACUCGGAUUAAUACCUGAUAUUCUUUAUUUCUCGCAUGAGAAUAAAAGGAAAGGUCAGCCGAACUAAGAUGAGCUCGCGUUCUAUCAGCUAGUUGGUGAGGUAAAAGCUUACCNAGGCUACGACGGAUAGCUGGUCUGAGAGGACGAUCAGCCACACUGGGACUGAGACACGGCCCAGACUCCUACGGGAGGCUGCAGCAGGGAAUAUUGUGCAAUGAACGAAAGUUUGACACAGCGACACCGCGUGUGGGAUGACGGAUCUAGGUUUGUAAACCACUUUCAGGAGGGAAGAAAAUGACGGUACCUCCACAAGAAGCCCCGGCCAACUACGUGCCAGCAGCCGCGGUAAUACGUAGGGGGCGAGCGUUGUCCGGAUUUAUUGGGCGUAAAGAGCUCGUAGGCGGUUCAACAAGUCGGUCGUGAAAGUUCAGGGCUCAACCCUGAAAAUGUCGAUCGAUACUGUUGUGACUAGGAUACGGUAGAGGUGAGUGGAAUUCCGAGUGUAGCGGUGAAAUGCG
rnacentral:rRNA from 1 species